ensembl:lncRNA
UAAGGUGAGAGAUGGUGAUCUCCUGCACAUGCUGUGGAAUUGCCCAGUGAUAGAAGAGUUUUGGAGACGGGCUAUUGAAAUAAUCUCAAGGGUAAUGGGGAUCCAAAUUGAAUUGGACCCAAAACUAUGGAUUCUAGGUGACACAGGUUCUAUUAAUGUAAAUUACCAUAAGAAAUAUUUUAUUUUACUUGCGAGUACUGCAGUGAAAAAAUGUAUUCUGCUACAAUGGAAAUCUGAAAAUUCCCCAACAUUGAGACACUGGAUUAAUGAGCUAGCGUCCUACUGCACAUCUGAGAAGAUAUCGCAUAGUGUAAAAGGGAAAUAUGGAACCUUUGAAAAAAUCUGGGGCCCCUUCCUGGCAGUACUACCAUCUCUGGACCUAACAGAUCAUAGAGGUGUUAGCUGCAGUUUCAUGCAGUUUUAUCGUGGGGGAUGUUGAUUCCUGUGCAUGAGAGGUGUAAAUAUGGGCUGUCUGGAUACACGAAUGUGAUGAGGUUGAGAGCCAAACAGGGGUAAAGGGGUGGGGGGAUGGUGGGAGGGGUUCACAUGAUGUGUUCUGUGUUUCUGUUUUAUUCACUUUUAUUUUUUUAUUUUUUUUGAGUUCUUUGUUCGUUUGUUUUUAAAAAACAAUUUCUGUAAUUAUUAAUGUUGGUAUGUUAUUGUUAUUAUUAUUAUUAUUGUUAUCAUCAUCAUCAUCAUCAUUAUUAUCAUUAUCAUCAUUAUUAUUAUUAUCAUUAUUAUUAUUAUUAUUAUGCUUGUAUUUUCUGUGUUUGGUUUUCAGAUGUCUGAGGUUAUCCUUGAAAGACACAGAUACAAGAGUGUGCACCUGGGAGUGCUUCUGUGGUCAAAAUGGCCGGUCAUGUUGUGGUUAUUUGUUGAUACUUGCUCUGUCCCAUAGUUGUGAGCUUUCUGUUUGUUUGUUUGCUUUGUUUGUUUGUUUGUUUUUGUUUGUUUUCCAAUUUAAAAAUGAAAAAUAAAGCUUAAAAAAAAAAAAAGAAAAUCUGUGUGUAUGAACUUGUUUUGCAGGUUGUAAAAAAAAAAAAAAAUCAGGGCACGUCAUCAGUGAGGAAUUACUUUUAGCUAUCUCCAACCGGCUUACUGUGAAAAUCUGGGAUGCAAUAAUGGACGACUUUUAUAAAAUACCCUUAGCAAAAUUCAAAAACUUCAACAAGGUGAUUUUCAAGGCCCUGUGUAAAAGGUGGCCUGCAAAAUAUAUUCUGGAAAAUAGGAGAUUUGAUCCAGGCCUCAACGAAAUUGUUAAAAUUUUCAUAGACCAGGCA